rnacentral:rRNA from 1 species
UUAAGCGACUAAGCGUACACGGUGGAUGCCCUGGCAGUCAGAGGCGAUGAAGGACGUGCUAAUCUGCGAUAAGCGUCGGUAAGGUGAUAUGAACCGUUAUAACCGGCGAUUUCCGAAUGGGGAAACCCAGUGUGUUUCGACACACUAUCAUUAACUGAAUCCAUAGGUUAAUGAGGCGAACCGGGGGAACUGAAACAUCUAAGUACCCCGAGGAAAAGAAAUCAACCGAGAUUCCCCCAGUAGCGGCGAGCGAACGGGGAGCAGCCCAGAGCCUGAAUCAGUAUGUGUGUUAGUGGAAGCGUCUGGAAAGGCGCGCGAUACAGGGUGACAGCCCCGUACACAAAAAUGCACAUGCUGUGAGCUCGAUGAGUAGGGCGGGACACGUGGUAUCCUGUCUGAAUAUGGGGGGACCAUCCUCCAAGGCUAAAUACUCCUGACUGACCGAUAGUGAACCAGUACCGUGAGGGAAAGGCGAAAAGAACCCCGGCGAGGGGAGUGAAAAAGAACCUGAAACCGUGUACGUACAAGCAGUGGGAGCACGCUUAGGCGUGUGACUGCGUACCUUUUGUAUAAUGGGUCAGCGACUUAUAUUCUGUAGCAAGGUUAACCGAAUAGGGGAGCCGAAGGGAAACCGAGUCUUAACUGGGCGUUAAGUUGCAGGGUAUAGACCCGAAACCCGGUGAUCUAGCCAUGGGCAGGUUGAAGGUUGGGUAACACUAACUGGAGGACCGAACCGACUAAUGUUGAAAAAUUAGCGGAUGACUUGUGGCUGGGGGUGAAAGGCCAAUCAAACCGGGAGAUAGCUGGUUCUCCCCGAAAGCUAUUUAGGUAGCGCCUCGUGAAUUCAUCUCCGGGGGUAGAGCACUGUUUCGGCAAGGGGGUCAUCCCGACUUACCAACCCGAUGCAAACUGCGAAUACCGGAGAAUGUUAUCACGGGAGACACACGGCGGGUGCUAACGUCCGUCGUGAAGAGGGAAACAACCCAGACCGCCAGCUAAGGUCCCAAAGUCAUGGUUAAGUGGGAAACGAUGUGGGAAGGCCCAGACAGCCAGGAUGUUGGCUUAGAAGCAGCCAUCAUUUAAAGAAAGCGUAAUAGCUCACUGGUCGAGUCGGCCUGCGCGGAAGAUGUAACGGGGCUAAACCAUGCACCGAAGCUGCGGCAGCGACGCUGAUGCGUUGUUGGGUAGGGGAGCGUUCUGUAAGCCUGCGAAGGUGUGCUGUGAGGCAUGCUGGAGGUAUCAGAAGUGCGAAUGCUGACAUAAGUAACGAUAAAGCGGGUGAAAAGCCCGCUCGCCGGAAGACCAAGGGUUCCUGUCCAACGUUAAUCGGGGCAGGGUGAGUCGACCCCUAAGGCGAGGCCGAAAGGCGUAGUCGAUGGGAAACAGGUUAAUAUUCCUGUACUUGGUGUUACUGCGAAGGGGGACGGAGAAGGCUAUGUUGGCCGGGCGACGGUUGUCCCGGUUUAAGCGUGUAGGCUGGUUUUCCAGGCAAAUCCGGAAAAUCAAGGCUGAGGCGUGAUGACGAGGCACUACGGUGCUGAAGCAACAAAUGCCCUGCUUCCAGGAAAAGCCUCUAAGCAUCAGGUAACAUCAAAUCGUACCCCAAACCGACACAGGUGGUCAGGUAGAGAAUACCAAGGCGCUUGAGAGAACUCGGGUGAAGGAACUAGGCAAAAUGGUGCCGUAACUUCGGGAGAAGGCACGCUGAUAUGUAGGUGAAGUCCCUCGCGGAUGGAGCUGAAAUCAGUCGAAGAUACCAGCUGGCUGCAACUGUUUAUUAAAAACACAGCACUGUGCAAACACGAAAGUGGACGUAUACGGUGUGACGCCUGCCCGGUGCCGGAAGGUUAAUUGAUGGGGUCAGCGCAAGCGAAGCUCUUGAUCGAAGCCCCGGUAAACGGCGGCCGUAACUAUAACGGUCCUAAGGUAGCGAAAUUCCUUGUCGGGUAAGUUCCGACCUGCACGAAUGGCGUAAUGAUGGCCAGGCUGUCUCCACCCGAGACUCAGUGAAAUUGAACUCGCUGUGAAGAUGCAGUGUACCCGCGGCAAGACGGAAAGACCCCGUGAACCUUUACUAUAGCUUGACACUGAACAUUGAGCCUUGAUGUGUAGGAUAGGUGGGAGGCUUUGAAGUGUGGACGCCAGUCUGCAUGGAGCCGACCUUGAAAUACCACCCUUUAAUGUUUGAUGUUCUAACGUUGACCCGUAAUCCGGGUUGCGGACAGUGUCUGGUGGGUAGUUUGACUGGGGCGGUCUCCUCCUAAAGAGUAACGGAGGAGCACGAAGGUUGGCUAAUCCUGGUCGGACAUCAGGAGGUUAGUGCAAUGGCAUAAGCCAGCUUGACUGCGAGCGUGACGGCGCGAGCAGGUGCGAAAGCAGGUCAUAGUGAUCCGGUGGUUCUGAAUGGAAGGGCCAUCGCUCAACGGAUAAAAGGUACUCCGGGGAUAACAGGCUGAUACCGCCCAAGAGUUCAUAUCGACGGCGGUGUUUGGCACCUCGAUGUCGGCUCAUCACAUCCUGGGGCUGAAGUAGGUCCCAAGGGUAUGGCUGUUCGCCAUUUAAAGUGGUACGCGAGCUGGGUUUAGAACGUCGUGAGACAGUUCGGUCCCUAUCUGCCGUGGGCGCUGGAGAACUGAGGGGGGCUGCUCCUAGUACGAGAGGACCGGAGUGGACGCAUCACUGGUGUUCGGGUUGUCAUGCCAAUGGCACUGCCCGGUAGCUAAAUGCGGAAGAGAUAAGUGCUGAAAGCAUCUAAGCACGAAACUUGCCCCGAGAUGAGUUCUCCCUGACUCCUUGAGAGUCCUGAAGGAACGUUGAAGACGACGACGUUGAUAGGCCGGGUGUGUAAGCGCAGCGAUGCGUUGAGCUAACCGGUACUAAUGAACCGUGAGGCUUAACCUU